GGGGACGUGGCGGAACGGUAGACGCGGCGGACUCAAACUCCGCUCCGGUUCACCCCGGGUGUGGGUUCGACUCCCACCGUCCCCA
rnacentral:tRNA from 1 species